AUUGAACGCUGGCGGCAUGCCUUACACAUGCAAGUCGAACGGCAGCACGGGUGCUUGCACCUGGUGGCGAGUGGCGAACGGGUGAGUAAUACAUCGGAACGUACCUUAUCGUGGGGGAUAACGCAGCGAAAGCUGUGCUAAUACCGCAUACGCCCUGAGGGGGAAAGCGGGGGAUCGCAAGACCUCGCGCGAUUAGAGCGGCCGAUGCCUGAUUAGCUUGUUGGUGGGGUAAAAGCCCACCAAGGCGACGAUCAGUAGCUGGUCUGAGAGGACCAGAAGCGAGACUGGGAAUGCGACACGGCCCAGAACCCUACGGGAGGCAGCAGUGGGGAAUUUUGGACAAUGGGGGCAACCCUGAUCCAGCAAUGCCGCGUGAGUGAAGAAGGCCUUCGGGUUGUAAAGCUCUUUUGUCAGGGAAGAAACACCGGCUCUAACACAGUCCGGGAAUGACGGUACCUGAAGAAUAAGCACCGGCUAACUACGUGCCAGCCGCCGCCGUAA
rnacentral:rRNA from 1 species